rnacentral:rRNA from 1 species
AGAGUUUGAUCCUGGCUCAGGACGAACGCUGGCGGCGCGCCUAACACAUGCAAGUCGAACGAGCGAGAGAGAGCUUGCUUUCUCGAGCGAGUGGCGAACGGGUGAGUAACGCGUGAGGAACCUGCCUCAAAGAGGGGGACAACAGUUGGAAACGACUGCUAAUACCGCAUAAGCCCACAGGUCGGCAUCGACCAGAGGGAAAAGGAGCAAUCCGCUUUGAGAUGGCCUCGCGUCCGAUUAGCUGGUUGGUGAGGUAAUGGCCCACCAAGGCGACGAUCGGUAGCCGGACUGAGAGGUUGAACGGCCACAUUGGGACUGAGACACGGCCCAGACUCCUACGGGAGGCAGCAGUGGGGAAUAUUGCACAAUGGGGGAAACCCUGAUGCAGCGACGCCGCGUGGAGGAAGAAGGUCUUCGGAUUGUAAACUCCUGUUGUUGAGGAAGAUAAUGACGGUACUCAACAAGGAAGUGACGGCUAACUACGUGCCAGCAGCCGCGGUAAAACGUAGGUCACAAGCGUUGUCCGGAAUUACUGGGUGUAAAGGGAGCGCAGGCGGGAAGACAAGUUGGAAGUGAAAUCUAUGGGCUCAACCCAUAAACUGCUUUCAAAACUGUUUUUCUUGAGUAGUGCAGAGGUAGGCGGAAUUCCCCGGUGUAGCGGUGGAAUGCGUAGAUAUCGGGAGGAACACCAGUGGCGAAGGCCGGCUACUGGGCACCAACUGACGCUGAGGCUCGAAAGUGUGGGUAGCAAACAGGAUUAGAUACCCUGGUAGUCCACACCGUAAACGAUGAUUACUAGGUGUUGGAGGAUUGACCCCUUCAGUGCCGCAGUUAACACAAUAAGUAAUCCACCUGGGGAGUACGACCGCAAGGUUGAAACUCAAAGGAAUUGACGGGGGCCCGCACAAGCAGUGGAGUAUGUGGUUUAAUUCGACGCAACGCGAAGAACCUUACCAAGUCUUGACAUCCCUUGACGAACAUAGAAAUAUGUUUUCUCUUCGGAGCAAGGAGACAGGUGGUGCAUGGUUGUCGUCAGCUCGUGUCGUGAGAUGUUGGGUUAAGUCCCGCAACGAGCGCAACCCUUACUGUCAGUUACUACGCAAGAGGACUCUGGCAGGACUGCCGUUGGCAAAACGGAGGAAGGUGGGGAUGACGUCAAAUCAUCAUGCCCUUUAUGACUUGGGCUACACACGUACUACAAUGGCGUUAAACAAAGAGAAGCAAGACCGCGAGGUGGAGCAAAACUCAGAAACAACGUCCCAGUUCGGACUGCAGGCUGCAACUCGCCUGCACGAAGUCGGAAUUGCUAGUAAUCGUGGAUCAGCAUGCCACGGUGAAUACGUUCCCGGGCCUUGUACACACCGCCCGUCA